CCGGUUAAAAAAACAGUAACGAAUCUGGUCACCCCGCUCGAUCUGGAUCACCCCGCUCGAUCUGGAUCUCGUCGGCGGCGGCUCCUCCCCACGCACCGACGCAUCCCCAGAGCCCUCCCCACCUCCUCCCAGAACCGGCGACUUCGCCUCCCGCCGUGGCCCCCUCUCUUCCCCUCCCCUCGUCGCAGAUCGAGCGACAACCGCGGUGUGGGCGGGCGACGCCAACGCGCUGCUCCUGCUCGGCCACCCGGGCCCGUCCAUCGCCUGCUCGCCUCCCGCAGCGUCUUCUCCGAGCACACAACCGACGGUGGCCGGAGGCUGUACACGCUUGUGCUGUCGUGGCCGCGGCUCCACAAGGCCGUGCGCGACCCAGCCAGCGCCAAGCCCUUCGCGCGCGCCCACGCCUAAACCUACUACACCCAGGACCGGGAGGCGAACAGGUGAUGCUCGACGACGAACAUCUGCUUGAGGACACCUUGCUCGACGAUGCUCCUCUCCGCUAGCAUCUCCAUUGCAUGAUAGGGGGAGAGUUCUUGUACUCAGAGCAGCUGUUGAUCUGCAGCAACUCUAGAAGUAGGAUUUAGGAUAAUCAUAGUUUCAGUUUGCCAAGCAGGGAGUAUAAUUUAACUGGAAAUCAACCAACUAUUGCUUUGAACUGGAGUAUAAUUACUGAAGCGGGUCGAAGUGGGACGAUGUGGUUCGGUGGUCAACGGCGGCUGCGCGGGAUGCAGUAUGGUAUGGCUUGAGCAUCUCGAGGAGGGGCUCUCUCCGCAAGGCAUCCUCUACGCCACGGCGGAGGUGUUCGAGUAGUCUGUCCCGGGGCUGCGCGUGGAGCACGUCGACGUCUCCGUCUUGCCAUUGCUCAGCACCGCCCUGCCGGCUGGGGUUCUUAUUUGCCAUCGAGGCCUUCCGCAACUGGGACCAUGGUGCCUGAUAGCUUCCUCUCCGGCUGGAUCGGCAGUCUAUCCACCCAGAGGAGUGUAAUGUUGAGAUCAAUGUCGGGAUCCGCAGGUUUCUAUGGCGUAGCAUCAGAUUAAUAUUGCCAAGCCUGAGCUGGCGGUUCAUAUGGAAGAUCCCAUGGGCCAGCAGCUGGAGCCUGGAAGCAGAUGUUAAUGCUCCAUAGCAGAGAGUUUAGGUUUACAGCAAGCAGCGACUACCAAAUUUUCCAUGUAGGAUAUAAACGGAAAUUGUAAUGGAGAUGGUUGCCAUCAGUUCCAUUUUGUUGCACAUCACAAGCCUUGCCACUCAGAUCGUCGCUGUGGCCAGAUCCGACCGGGGGAGCCGCCAUAGAGCCGACACCUCGGCGGCGCAGCAGCAGCCCGACAGAAGGUGGGUGCUCGAGCUCAUCCAGCAGCUCGUCAUCGACCAGGAGGCCUCUACCUCGACUGCAACCGUCCGUGGAUCUCUAUUGCAAGCACCUUGUAUCUACUGAUGUUCUUCCGCCCAUCUAAAUUCCACAUGUUUUUUUUGACGGGAUCUAAAUUCCACAUGUUGUUAUAUGAGUGGUACAGCUGCAUGGAUUGGCGAUAUGAGUAUUUGUACAAACCGCCGAGGACCUCAAGUUCACAUGGUUCGUGCUUCUUUACAUACGAACUCUACAUAUGACAACCAGCAGAUCAAUUGGUACCAUCUCCGAUUUCUAUCAUCAUGUUGCUUCAUUUAUCUUCAUAUAAGUUUCACUGGAUGCAUGUAUUUAACAUACUACUUUUUUUAGUAGGCAUCAAACUUGGUUCAGGUAGCUUUUUUUGUGAAAGAAAGUUAUGUUUCUAAAGAUCUGUACUCUGAAUCCUAGAUCUCAUACUUGCUUUUUUUUGGCAUAAUAGUUUCAGGCCUGAUGAGUAUCAAGCAGAUUGGGUUCUCCAAGGAAUGCCAAUACGAACUCACUUUUUGCAACACACAUGCUCAUCCAAUUGGGCAGCCAGCUGGGAGGUAGACAAUACCUUUUUCCUCUUUCACAAAUAAAAUAUUUUGAUACUCAAGAUUGGAUAUCAAGGCAUUAUUUUAUAUCAAUUUAUUGAGCCAAGGUCAUGGAAGGAACUAUUUUUUCUCUUGUUGCAACACACAGGCUCAAGGGUACAGGUGCGUGAACCCCUACUUAUAUAUAGGCAUUUUCACGUGUGUGUUGGAGCUUUGUCUGAUCGUAUACACUGAUUAGUGCAUGGGUCCUGUUGAUUGAGGAUGCUUUGAUGGGUAGGGGAUUCCAUGAAAGAGCUGGUGUGGAUUAAUAUCCUUCGGGUUUCUGCAUGGCGUGGCCCUGACAUUUAUCAGGCACUAGAAUAAAUCUGAAUUGUGUGUAGCGGUUGUCCAUCUACUUAGUUAUUGUAGGCAUUAUGUUUCACAUAAAUAUAGAUAUAUUUGAAUCAUGAGUAACUACAUGUCCACUCUUCGUCCAAAGUUUUUGCUUCUACAAUAUGAUUGGACUAUUUAGUUCGCAUCCUUCUCCCUUUGCAGAUUCUAAUGCAUUUUGAAAUUGUUCAUGUGCUUCAUUUUUGCACUCUUGCUACUCUCUGGAGAAAUUAUUUGCAGAUUCUAAAGCAUGGCUCCUAUGUUGGUAUUCAUGGCCAAUCUAGCUAUUUUAUGAUUAGUAAAUUGUUUGCAGUAAUGUACUACCUGCUUACUCUUGGGAGUGUGGAUGACUAUGAUUUUCUUUAUGCUUAUUAUGUGCAAGCAUAGUGUUCUUUGCACAAGCAUGAUGAUGAUCGAAUAAAUUAUAGUUCUCUGAAUGCAUCCUUUUGUCAUUAGGUGAUGUUUUAGGAAAAGAUCCUUGUGUGUUGUUGAAUUGUUUACAAGAAAACAACUAUUCGGGAGUACAUAGAGAUAGAGUGCUUUUUAGUAGAAGCAAGAUAGAGUUGAUGUCGAUUAGACUUAACCGGGUUUCUUCAAAUUUAAUGGUUUGUCGUAUGAAAACUAUUGAACUAAAAAUAAUCUAGCGAGCAAUAAUAAAAUGAAGAAUAAGGCAUCCUAUCGCAGAAUCCUAUGAGUGAAUAGUAGCCCAAUACAGUGGCGAAAUAAAAAUGCUUUGUUUGGAUACCAGGCAAAAAAAUAGUUCACGUAGAGAGACUUUAUUAGUUGCAGAGUAACAACACUACCACAUACAAGGGUGUAAUUGAAGAGACUAACUCAUCAACUGGAGUGAGAUACUUAUUGCUCUAUUUGUAGUGAAGAUGGCCCCUUUUGGAGUGAGGCGCAGCUAUAGUUGCUCUAUGUUGUGAGAAUACCCAAGCCCUCAAAUGCCGAGAGGCUUCUCUGGUUAUGGGUUGCACAUUCAAAAAGCAAGAUUGUAAGUUAAUGAUUCGCCGAGUUGUUUCUCUGCUAACUGUUUUUUGUUAAUGGCUGAAACCUUGUGCUGAUCCCUUUUUUCUGCUUGUUCUAAUUAGAGUACACCGGCUAGAUAUGGUUCUCAAGUAUGCAUCAAUACAAAUUAUUCCAAACAUUGUUGCACUAUGCUGCAUGUAGCUUUUGGUGUGGUAUAACAUUUUCUCUAUCUUCUUACAUUGUCUACUUAAUUUCUUAGACAACUAGCUCGAAAUUUGGAUAUGGUAAUAUGUGCCUUCAAGUUUCUAAGGUUCCUGGAGAGUUUAACCACUUCAUACAUCUCCCUUUUAGAAACUUGUACUUAGUAGGUCAUUUGUCGUAUGAUAUAUCAGAUUUAUUUGUUUGAUGAAUAUUGAUAGUCAAUCGAUUUUUAUAUAAAUGUGUAAUAAGUAGUGACUGCUGCAAAGUUUACUUGGUCUUCGAUUUUUAUAUUUCAGAAGACUGUCCUAGGGAUGUUAGGUUUAUAUUUUAAUUGCUGGUUAUUUCAUUACUGGAGCACCCAAAGUGGUUAUUUCAUCCGUAUAUAAAGCCCCAAUUAGGCCUUGUUGCUUGAGAUGGUGGUUAAGGCGACAUGACAGCUGUUAAGGAGGAGAGGAGAGAAUAUUAGUUUGUCUCUAUAUGAAUGCAAACCAUAUGUCAACAUGAUCGACAUACAUUUCUGAAUUUAAACGAUUGUUUAAUCACUAUUUUCCGUUAGUCCAUUGGCAACACACAAACAUUCAACUAACCAUUGUUGCUGUGCUUCUUGUUGACAGUUCGGGGUUAGAAGGGAGAAGUUAGAUUGAUUUUCUGCGUGCGUGUGCAAGCUCGGUUUAACCUAUGAGGCUCACUGGUAUAGUUAUUUUUUGAAUAUGCAAUCUGAAUAAACAUAGGUAAAACAGUAUGGUGGAAUCUUGCGACAGGGGCAGAAGUUAGAAUCUUGAGACAAUGCUAUAACUCCUUGUCCUUGGUAGUUUGGACUUUGUAAUAAUUAUCCUAGAUAGAUGCUAGAAUGGUAGUAAUACCCAGUAAACCCAUAUUUAGCAAUGGCCAUGCAUGUCUUUUAGAAACAAUCAUCCUUUUAAUAUUAGGUAGAGAUAUCUAAACAGACUUGAUGUUUUUCUAUUAAAGUUUGUUUUAUGUAUAUACUGAAAUUAGCAACGCCAAACUUUUAAUCUGGAAAUAUCACUUAUUCACUUUAGAGUACCUUGGUCUAUAAAUGUGCUGCGCUGCUGUAUUUUAAAGACGCGGUUUGUAUUGGAAAAGAUUGCAUUAAAGAUGGUGUCGAUAUUGACGACGGGCUGCCUUGCACGGCAAGGGACGGGGGUACAAGGAUUGGCCUGCGGUGCCGCACCUUGUUGUUCCCUGCCAGUGGCGGGCGAGCUGCGGGGGCGCAAGGCGUGGCAUCUGCAGUGCCACUCCUGGGGCAUGCCUCUCCGGUGACAUUGCCAGCGUACACAACAUACCUUAUUGCAUGGGGAUUUCAUCUCUGAAGUAAAUAUUACGCCAGAACUGAAUAUUACGUCCGAAGACUGAAACAUCCAGAAAGCUUAUUGAGACUUCAUUUAUGGUGUUUCACUACUACACGAGGGAGUUUCAUGUGCCAAUUAGGCAUGGACAACGAUGGCCACGAUCCCAUCAUCGCCAGCUGACGGGAGGGAGACACACAUCUCAUCCAGUGGAAAAGCACGCUUCGAAAAAUCCCUAACCCUCCAUGGAGCCAUUGUCAAGGUUACGAGAUCAACGCCACCCACCACCACCAUCGAGUUGUAGAUGGUGUGUCGUGGUGCUCCCUGGCUCUUCCCGCCUCUUGAGAGACCACAUGGGCUUCUGGCGCAAUUUUUGGCCAAGGCUGGAAGCCAAUAACACUUCUUAAUUUUGAUCAUGGAUGUCACAUUGUGGUCGGCGGUGUGGUGUGUGGUGCGGUGCAGUUCUUGCCUGGCGUAUAACAACUAGAUCGGCAGCGCGCCUUGGUGCAAGGGUGCCGGUUUCAACAAUGUAACGGUGAAGUUAGUAGAAAGCCAGGCUUAUCAUAUGUAUUCAAUCAGGAUAAAAAAAAAACAUUCAAGUGUAAUCGGAGCAAGACAACAUCAAUGGAAGAAUAGAAUGUUCAUAUA